GUGAAUGGAUAACGCGUCUGCCUACGGAGCAGAAGAUUGCAGGUUCGAAUCCUGC
rfam:Caenorhabditis japonica strain DF5081 Contig17024.1, whole genome shotgun sequence.